UACAGAGGUCUCAAGCGUUGUUCGGAUUCAUUGGGCGUAAAGGGUGCGUAGGCGGCGCGGUAAGUCGGGUGUGAAAUCUCGGAGCUUAACUCCGAAACUGCAUUCGAUACUGCCGUGCUUGAGGACUGGAGAGGAGACUGGAAUUUACGGUGUAGCGGUGAAAUGCGUAGAGAUCAUGAGGAAGACCAGUGGCGAAGGCGGGUCUCUGGACAGUUCCUGACACUGAGACACGAAGGCCAAGGGAGCAAACGGG
rnacentral:rRNA from 1 species